GACUAUACAUCAUUGCUUCAAUAAACCCACUACUGCAGCAAAACCUGUCCUGCAAUCUCCAAGAUUAUUACAACGGGCGAUGAGGAUAAACACUGCUGACGCAGCAUCUCGCCUCAUGACUUAUGCACAUGAAAUUGGGAUCUUUGGAAGAGGUUGAAGACGCUAUUACCUGGUGCUUAUUUGAGUCUUCACUUCAGGAAAUAUGAGAUUAUUAUGAACACUAUGGGAACCAAGCUUUUCAGCUUCCGAAAUUAUAAAAUCUCACAAUAUUUCUGGCCUCAAGGUGUCUGUACUGGAAUAUUGUUGAAUCAAGAAACCUUUGACAGUGAGUAUAUAAGCAGAAACAUACAAAUCACACUGAGCUGAAAUGAUUCAUCGCCAAAAUCAGCUGCUCCACAGGCAGGCCACACCGAAGCAGGCUCUGGGCAGGUUGGACAACUGGCCCCCAUCUAACCUAACUGCUGGGAAGAUUUCAGUUCUAUCGCUUACAGAACCGAUUCAAUCAGUGCGUACCUACUUCACCUUGGGACAUCAAAACAACUGGAAAAGCAUGUUGAACACCACUGGUCUUCAGCUGUCCCAGCUGUAUGAAAGAAUUCCUCAUUGGACUUUGAUUCUGGACCCUGGACUCACAUGAAACAAUAAUUCUUAUUUUUAUCAUGGUAUCUGCCCUGUACCCCUUUCUUUCCCUUAUCCCUCUUUCAUUGUAAGAAUGCAACAAGGGAUGGACAUUGCAA